AUUGAACGCUGGCGGCAUGCUUUACACAUGCAAGUCGAACGGCAGCGCGGGCUUCGGCCUGGCGGCGAGUGGCGAACGGGUGAGUAAUACAUCGGAACGUGCCCAGUAGUGGGGGAUAGCUCGGCGAAAGCCGGAUUAAUACCGCAUACGACCUGAGGGUGAAAGCGGGGGAUCUUCGGACCUCGCGCUAUUGGAGCGGCCGAUGGCAGAUUAGCUAGUUGGUGGGGUAAAGGCCUACCAAGGCGACGAUCUGUAGCUGGUUGAGAGGACGACCAGCCACACUGGGACUGAGACACGGCCCAGACUCCUACGGGAGGCAGCAGUGGGGAAUUUUGGACAAUGGGCGAAAGCCUGAUCCAGCAAUUCCGCGUGUGUGAUGAAGGCCUUCGGGUUGUAAAGCACUCU
rnacentral:rRNA from 1 species